ACGGGUGAGUAACACGUGGGAACGUGCCCAAAGGUACGGAACAACUCCGGGAAACUGGAGCUAAUACCGUAUGUGCCCGAAAGGGGAAAGAUUUAUCGCCUUUGGAUCGGCCCGCGUCUGAUUAGCUAGUUGGUGGGGUAAUGGCCUACCAAGGCGACGAUCAGUAGCUGGUCUGAGAGGAUGGCCAGCCACACUGGGACUGAGACACGGCCCAGACUCCUACGGGAGGCAGCAGUGGGGAAUAUUGGACAAUGGGCGCAAGCCUGAUCCAGCCAUGCCGCGUGAGUGAUGAAGGCCUUAGGGUUGUAAAGCUCUUUCGCCAGGGACGAUAAUGACGGUACCUGGAUAAGAAGCCCCGGCUAACUUCGUGCCAGCAGCCGCGGUAAUACGAAGGGGGCUAGCGUUGUUCGGAAUUACUGGGCGUAAAGCGUAUGCAGGCGGACUUUUAAGUCGGGGGUGAAAUCCCGAGGCUCAACCUCGAAACUGCCUUCGAUACUGGAAGUCUUGAGUCCGGGAGAGGUGAGUGGAACUCCGAGUGUAGAGGUGAAAUUCGUAGA
rnacentral:rRNA from 2 species